CAGUCGCCGCGGUAAUACGAAGGGGGCUAGCGUUGUUCGGAUUUACUGGGCGUAAAGCGCACGUAGGCGGACUUUUAAGUCAGGGGUGAAAUCCCGGGGCUCAACCCCGGAACUGCCUUUGAUACUGGAAGUUUUGAGUAUGGUAGAGGUGAGUGGAAUUCCGAGUGUAGAGGUGAAAUUCGUAGAUAUUCGGAGGAACACCAGUGGCGAAGGCGGCUCACUGGACCAUUACUGACGCUGAGGUGCGAAAGCGUGGGGAGCAAACAGGAUUAGAUACCCCCGUAGUCCCUGUCUCUUAUAC
rnacentral:rRNA from 1 species